CUUAAACAAAAGGGGGUGGAACCGGUUCCUAGGCCAGCCAGGAGAGAUGGGCCAGCUGGGAGAGGCUGAACUUCACUUGACGCGCACCACCUAGAGUUGAGUAUAGACUCUGGAGUUCUGUCUGUGUCUGUCUGUGUGUGUGUGUCUGUCUCUCCCCCCCCCCCCACACUCCUCCGCCCCGGGACACGUGGCUUAAGUUGUCCUCGAACUCCUGAUCAUUCUGCCGCUACUCUAUGAUACAUGUCAUUAUAGAUCAGUCUGGAGGCACAGAGUGUACCACAGCAAGGUUGAGCCUCCGUGCACACUAUGGUCUUUGUGGGUGACAAAGACGUGCCUUGUGUCUGAGUAAGUUUAUCGGCUGUAACGGGUGUACUGCAUGAGGGAUGGUGGGAAGGAGGGAAACUGAGGGUGUGGGAAUCCAGGAGAGCAUCUGUACUUCCACUUAGGACUUGAGAUUGGCGGGAGGUAGAACACUUCGCCAGCAUGGGUGAGGCGUGUCUCUGGCAGAGUAAAAAACAAAUACAUAAAUAAGUGAAUAUAGUCUCCCCGUAUUCCAGCUAAUUGAGGGUUAGGAGAAGGCCACCAUCCCUAGAAGUCCAGGAAGAAAAUGUGUUUAUAGAGUCCCAUACCCGAUCAUUUGUAGAGAGGUGAUUUAGCCAAGUGGUGGGGGAGCUGGCUCUGAAGUCAGAGGCUGUAAUUUGAAGCACUUAACUGUGGGGCCUACCCCGUGAACACUGCUCCAAAGCUGGAAAGAGCAGAGUAACAAAAGUCGUUGUGUGCACCUCUGUCGGUGCGCAUGCGUAAUUUCACACGGAGGGCAGAUUCUGGAAUGUCACAGAAAGCUACCAAAACCCGUAGGAUGCGUGGGAUGAACGGCCUUUACCGGCAGUCUCCUGCUCUCUUUCUGAGAACUUGUGAGAGCUCCCAACGUGCAGUAUGCUAGAAAAAGAAAGGGAGAGAGGGGUCAGCAGAGGCAGAAAUGCCGGCGCCAUUGCUUUGCCUCUGCAGUGGUGACUGUUGCCGCCUGAGAACAGUAUUUCUGGUUUUAGGCAGAUAAGAACAAAAUUCAAUAUUAAGAAAUUGAGGUCAUAUCCACAUGUUAAAAACACUGUGGCUGGGCAAGCCGUUAAACAAGUGGACUCUUGGAUAGCUGGAAAUCGAAACGGGGAAAUCCACACCCUCUUAGGGGUGCCUACUUAUGCUCACAUAUAGCAAACAAUAUUUCUGACUACUAUGUGCCAAGAACCACACCAAAUGAUCCCUUGGAGAGACCAAAGAAGGGAAGACGUGCAUGGUUACUGUCAGGAACUCUUGUAGAGCUUUUCGUAUGUAUGUUUGCCAUUUUAAAUGAACGAAAUAUUUUCUUUGUCCUCCAAUAAGAUAGAAAGUUGUUUGUAGAAGGCUGUCCUUGAAUUCACAGCCAUUUGUUGCCAUUUUGAUCAGAGAAGCACACAAGCAACCCUCAGAUGGGGCCUCUGGGUGGGUCACUAGACUCUCACCUGAGCUUCCGGGCACUCAUGUUUACACUCUCCCCUCCCCAUGUGAUUCCGCCACGGCUGCACAUUAUCUCAGGAAGGAGGCUCUGUCACAUAUAGGAAGCAGACAAUGAACACAUGGGCAGAAGGGCUCCAUCAGUGCAGCUGUGGAGAAGUUGUCACACAUCCUGGAGGAAGGUUUUCUCUUGGUACAGCUGCUUGGGGACACUUGUAAGUCACUCUAUGCCCAUGCUCCUGCAAAUAAGUAUGAUAAACUGAUUGGCUCUCUAAGCUACACUUGGGGAGAGUCGUUCCAAUUGUCCGUCUCUCGUGUCUUAUCUAAGCAGAGUAGAUGUCUGUUCUUGUCUCCCCAGGAAAAGUUAAUGCAACAAAGACCUACCCAGUUCACCGCAAAUUAAAGCAAAAGUCAGGAAGUUCUGCAAUAAAGAUACAGUCAGAGACAAGGAUGGUGGGCUCAUUCAGUGGAGGAGAAAUUGUUUUUUUAUGACUGGCUAUCCCUGCAUAAAAGAAUAAAUUUGACCCCUACCUCAUAUCGUCUAACUCAACAUGUAUUAUAAAACUUUGUGUAAGAUUCCCAGUACCAGGCAUGAUUUCCCUCUUGUUGAUUACCAUGAAGGCAUGUGUGCUAUUAUUGGAGAUUUAUGGUUAUUGUGCCUUGCUGGUCAUUAUCGUAGGUCACAGGUGUCACAGCUGGGCAGGACUCCUGGUCACUUUCCUUCUUUGGAAGCUUGCGUAGUGCCUUCUGGUACCAUGAGAAUUAGUCCUCAGGUCCUCAGGGAGGAGGUUUUCAGGUCAGAUCCUGCUCUGCCCUGUGGGCUCAUGGAUUUUGGAGAACUGUCUUAGUUAGGGUUUCUGUAGCAGCAACAAAAACAAAACACCAUUGACCAGAAAGCAAGUUGGGGAGGAGACGUCCGGAUCAUAGUCCAUCACUGGAGGAAGUCAGAACAGGAGCUCAAGCAGGAGUGGAACCUGGAGGCAGGAGGAGAGCUGCCUACUGGCUAGCUUCCCCUAGCUUGCACAGUCCACCCUUUCCUAAAACACAGGACCAGCAGCCCAGGGAUGGCACCUACGCAUGCUGGGCUGGGCCCUCUUCCACUGAUCAUGAAAUGGGAAAUACCUUACAGCUGGGUCUCACUGAAGCGUUUUCUCGACUGAGGCUCCUUCCUCGGAUGACUCAGUCUUAGUUCACGCUUCUUUAGGUUCACCAGGUAUACACUCCGUGACCUUUAUUUAUGGCUAGAAACCAAUUAUGAAACCUUCAUCUGGUGAUGGAUGGAGAUAGAGACAGAGACCCACACUGGAGCACUGGACUGAGCUCCCAAGGUCCCAAUGAGGAGCAGAUGGAGGGAGAACACGAGCAAGGAUGUCAGGAUCACGGGGGUUGUACCCACCCACUGAGACAGUGGGGCUGAUCUAUUGGGAGCUCACCAAGGCCAGCUGAACUGUGACUGAAAAAGCAUGGGAUAAAACCGGACUCUCUGAUCAUGGCGAACAAUGAGGACUGAUGAGAAGCCAAGGUCAAUGGCAAGGGGUUUUGAUCCUACUUCAUGUUCCGGCUUGGUGGGAGCCUAGCCAGUUUGGAUGUUCACCUUCCUAGACAUGGACAGAGGGGGGAGGACCUUGGACUUUCCACAGGGCAGGGAACCCUGACUGCUUUUUGGAUUGGAGAGGGA